rnacentral:rRNA from 1 species
UACGUAGGUGUCGAGCGUUGUCCGGAUUUAUUGGGCGUAAAGCGCCCGCAGGCGGCUUGGCAAGUUCGAGGUGAAAUCUCCCGGCUCAACUGGGAGGGUGCCUCGGAAACUGCCAGGCUUGAGGCAGGGAGAGGGAUGUGGAAUUCCCGGUGUAGUGGUGAAAUGCGUAGAUAUCGUAAGGAAGACCAGUGGCGAAGGCGGGUCUCUGGACAGUUCCUGACGCUGAGGCACGAAGGCCAGGGGAGCAAACAGG